UGGUAUUCAAUCACCAGCAAGAGUAAAGAUUGAAUCUUCGAGCUGUUUAACCUUUGCUUUAGUAUUAUCAGAAAAAGAAAGAAGAAAAAUGGCCUGCUUGGUACCCAUCUAAGAAAUUGCUCUUGCUGAUUGAUAUUCGAUCACCAGCAAGGGUAAAGACUGAAUCUUUGAGCUGUUUAACCUUUGCUUAGAAUUCUCAGGAAAAGAAAAGGAAAAAAGGCCAUCUUGUUGUCCCUGCCUAGAAAGUGCUCCAGCUGAUUGGUGGUCAAUCACUAGCAAGAGCAAACAUUGAAUCUUCGAGCCAUUUAACCUUUGCUUUCUGUUCCAUAAAGAAGGAAAAACCCAAUGAGUAACGAAAUUCAAUUUCCUUAGUUUCAGGAUUAGUUGCUUUUCUGACACCAUUUUACAUAAGAGCUAAGAUAAAGAGAUAGCAUGAGAAGAUAUUGAGUGCCUACGUAGUAAUGCCGUGCUUGAACAAUUCAUGAAGUAAUAUGUCGUAAUUCUUGAAGAUUAUUUGGGUACAUACAAAUGUACUGGUCUAAUUACAUUAAUGCUUUUUGCAUCAACUACGAUUUUAUAUGCAAUUAAACUGGGAACAGUUCCAAUUCUGAUUCAUUUGCUUUAUGCACAAUAUUUAUUAGGAUUCGUCUUACUGCACCACGACACAAUUCAAUACUCUUGGGCAUAAAUAUAAGCCCUUGGUUUUUAAAGAUUUGAGGAAGCUUUGGGAAAAACAUGACCCUGGUCUUCCAUGGGAGAAGGGAUAUUAUAACGAAUCAAACACGUUGUUGAUAGAUGAUUCUCCCUACAAAGCACUGCUUAAUCCCGUAAGUUAACGGACUACUUCAUUUUGUUUUAUUUUUUUGUUUAGAUCACUAAUAUUUUCCUUUGUCUUUCUAACAUAGAUCCCUGAUAUAUAUAUAUAUAUAUAUUUUUCGAUUUUCUACUAAUCUUUGCAGCCACAUACUGCAAUAUUUCCUCAUUCAUUCAAGUUCGACAUGAAGGAUAAUUCAUUAGGUAAAACAACUUUUGGAAUUAUUUACAUUUGUGGUAAAAGUACUAUGGAGGCUCUAGGAGUCAAAUUGCAUUUUACCCCCUCUACUCAAAAAAUAGGCAAAUUAGUCCUUAUACAUUAGAUUAAAGAGCAAAUUAGUCCUUUUUGUUAACAAUUUCAUCCAUUUGUACCAGUAAAAACUGGCGUGGUAAAUAGAAUAACUAGACAAUAACACUGGUGUGCCACGUUUACCACAUGCUGAUGUCUAGGACCAAUUUUUAAUAGUAGAAAUGGAUUGAAUUUUUAGAAUGACCAAUUUGUUGUUUGAUCUACCGUAUCGAGAUUAAUUUGCCUAAUUUUUUAGUAAAUGGGACAAAAUGCAAUCCAACUCUUAGUAUAAGGGACUUUAUGGUACUUUUACCUAGUUUUGUCAAGUUCCAUCAUUUGAAGAAUGUUGAAUAACUUGGUUCUUUUUUGUGUGUAUUUCAGGUGACGGAGGUGAUCUUAAAGUUUACUUGGAAAGACUAGCUUCAGCUGAUAAUGUACAGAACUUUGUCGAGCAAAAU
rnacentral:lncRNA from 1 species